GGAACUGCGUUCUGAACUGGGUAGCUAGAGUAUGUCAGAGGGGGGUAGAAUUCCACGUGUAGCAGUGAAAUGNGUAGAGAUGUGGAGGAAUACCGAUGGCGAAGGCAGCCCCCUGGGAUAAUACUGACGUUCAUGCUCGAAAGCGUGGGUAGCAAACAGGAUUAGAUACCCUGGUAGUCCACGCCCUAAACGAUGUCGAUUAGCUGUUGGGCAGCUUGACUGCUUAGUAGCGUAGCUAACGCGUGAAAUCGACCGCCUGGGGAGUACGGUCGCAAGAUUAAAACUCAAAGGAAUUGACGGGGACCCGCACAAGCGGUGGAUGAUGUGGAUUAAUUCGAUGCAACGCGAAGAACCUUACCUGGUCUUGACAUGUACGGAACCUUCCAGAGACGGAAGGGUGCCUUCGGGAGCCGUAACACAGGUGCUGCAUGGCUGUCGUCGGCUCGUGUCGUGAGAUGUUGGGUUAAGUCCCGCAACGAGCGCAACCCUUGUCAUUAGUUGCCAUCAUUCAGUUGGGCACUCUAAUGAGACUGCCGGUGACAAACCGGAGGAAGGUGGGGAUGACGUCAAGUCCUCAUGGCCCUUAUGACCAGGGCUUCACACGUCAUACAAUGGUCGGUACAAAGGGUAGCCAAGCCGCGAGGCGGAGCCAAUCUCAUAAAACCGAUCGUAGUCCGGAUUGCACUCUGCAACUCGAGUGCAUGAAGUCGGAAUCGCUAGUAAUCGCAGGUCAGCAUACUGCGGUGAAUACGUUCCCGGGUCUUGUACACACCGCCCGUCACACCAUGGGAGUGGGGGAUACCAGAAGUAGGUAGGG
rnacentral:rRNA from 1 species